rnacentral:rRNA from 1 species
UACGAAGGGGGCUAGCGUUGCUCGGAAUCACUGGGCGUAAAGCGCACGUAGGCGGACUCUUAAGUCGGUGGUGAAAUCCUGGAGCUCAACUCCAGAACUGCCUUCGAUACUGAGAGUCUUGAGUCCGGGAGAGGUGAGUGGAACUGCGAGUGUAGAGGUGAAAUUCGUAGAUAUUCGCAAGAACACCAGUGGCGAAGGCGGCUCACUGGCCCGGUACUGACGCUGAGGUGCGAAAGCGUGGGUAGCAAACAGG